rnacentral:rRNA from 1 species
GUUAACGCUGGCGGCGUGCCUAACACAUGCAAGUCGAACGGUUCUAAGCGCGAGCUUAGGAUAGUGGCGAACGGGUGAGUAAAAGGUAGGAAUCUACCCCUUGGACGGAGAUAGCUACUGGAAACGGUAGGUAAACUUCGAUAAGCCCGAGAGGGGAAAGUGGUGAGACAGCCGAGAGAUGAGCCUACUCUCCAUCAGGUAGUUGGUGAGAUAAAAGCUUACCAAGCCGAUGACGGAUAACCGGUGUGAGAGCAUGAACGGUCACAAGGGCACUGAGAGACGGGCCCUACUCCUACGGGAGGCAGCAGUGGGGAAUCUUGGACAAUGGGCGAAAGCCUGAUCCAGCGACGCCGCGUGGAGGAAGAAGUCCUUCGGGAUGUAAACUUCUGAACUAGCCGAAUAAAAGGCCUGUGGACACACAGGAGAAGAAAGUAGGCUAGGAAAAGUCCCGGCUAACUACGUG